GUUGGUGGGACUCACUCUGCCACCUGUGGAGGAUGUCUUUGAACGUGUUUUGAAAUGUGAUUUCCCUGCGGGAAGAAAUGAUACUUAUGGAAUUUGUGGACGACAGAGAACACUGAAGAUCAUCUACUGUUGGCUCCACACCCUGAAGCUCUCUGCGCCAUUUUCCAAGCAAGCGGUAGAUGGUUAAUUAUUUACUUGUUCCACGGACUCCUGAAGGACUUGGGCGAAGAGAGAAAUACAUUUCAGUGUUGUUUGCUCUAAGCACUGUAGUCUGAAAGUUUUGCACAGGUUUAUAACUGUAAUUCUAUUUUCUUAAAACAAACAAGCAAACAAACAUGUUAUUUCUUGCAGAAACAAGAUUUGCAGAGAAACACCCCAAAUUGGUAUGCAAGCCAGGUCUGAGGAAAAAGUAGGGCAGGCUGAGAUGCCACAGAAGGAACUGAACUAGCAUUAAUUUUUCUAUUUUCAUUCUUUCUGUUUCGGAGUUGAUGUUUGGACAGGACUGCGAAUACAAAAGACACAAGGGAUUCUGCAGUGAGAAGGCAAGAAAUGAGCACUGCACAAAUGCUGGCAGUCCAGAUUGAAGAUGCUCCCUAAUGUCUCUGUGCAUCCAUCCCCACCUGUACAAAUGAUGCAUUUUCCUAGCAAGGAGGACUUCAGGCACUCUGCACCUCAGCUUGCUUUGUGUUCUGACUACAUUAGAAGGUGAGAAGACAUUAAAUUUGCCUUAUGCAAUGCCACAUUUAACUGAAAUGAACAGUUUGCAAAAAGGAACAGCCACUUGCAUGAAGAUACAAUAGGCCACUGGAAGGAGCUGUCAGAUGAGGACUAGCCUUCAGCCUCCCAGAAUGCACUCCUCCCACGGAAGUACACCCCAGUCUACUGGAAGAUCAUCAAUUGAGCCUGGCCUAUUUUUCAUUUUGCCUCAUAAAACCAACCUUCCAGCCCUUCACUCAUGUUAAUUCUCUUUCAGCUCAUCUCUAAGGGUUCGACAUAGCAGAAGAGAAUGUAACGUUUCAAUAAAACAUAAAAUAAUCGGCUCAUUUAUUCAUCAAGA
rnacentral:lncRNA from 1 species